rfam:Gossypium hirsutum cultivar TM-1 chromosome 1, whole genome shotgun sequence
GAUUCAUUGGUGAUGGCAUUUUCGUAAUAGUUCUUUGUAUCGUUCCCAUGCCUCAUAUAAGGACUCAUCAUCCAUUUGUUGGAAAGCAGUGAUCUCGUUCCUCAACUU